GGGUCGAUGUCCGAGUGGUUAAUGGAGACGGACUGUAAAUCCGUUGGCUUGCGCCUACGCUGGUUCAAAUCCAGCUCGGCCCACCU
rnacentral:tRNA from 1 species